UACGUAGGGUGCAAGCGUUGUCCGGAAUUAUUGGGCGUAAAGAGCUCGCAGGCGGUUUGUCGCGUCGGCUGUGAAAACCCGGGGCUCAACCCCGGGCCUGCAGUCGAUACGGGCAAACUAGAGUGUGGUAGGGGAGACUGGAAUUCCUGGUGUAGCGGUGAAAUGCGCAGAUAUCAGGAGGAACACCGGUGGCGAAGGCGGGUCUCUGGGCCAUAACUGACGCUGAGGAGCGAAAGCGUGGGGAGCGAACAGG
rnacentral:rRNA from 1 species